rnacentral:rRNA from 1 species
GGGUUGUGAGGUUAAGCGACUAAGCGUACACGGUGGAUGCCCUGGCAGUCAGAGGCGAUGAAGGGCGUGCUAAUCUGCGAUAAGCGCCGGUAAGGUGAUAUGAACCGUUAUAACCGGCGAUACCCGAAUGGGGAAACCCAGUGUGAUUCGUCACACUAUCAUUAACUGAAUCCAUAGGUUAAUGAGGCGAACCGGGGGAACUGAAACAUCUAAGUACCCCGAGGAAAAGAAAUCAACCGAGAUUCCCCCAGUAGCGGCGAGCGAACGGGGAGGAGCCCAGAGCCUGAAUCAGCAUGUGUGUUAGUGGAAGCGUCUGGAAAGGCGCGCGAUACAGGGUGACAGCCCCGUACACAAAAGCGCAUGUGCUGUGAGCUCGAUGAGUAGGGCGGGACACGUGGUAUCCUGUCUGAAUAUGGGGGGACCAUCCUCCAAGGCUAAAUACUCCUGACUGACCGAUAGUGAACCAGUACCGUGAGGGAAAGGCGAAAAGAACCCCGGCGAGGGGAGUGAAAAAGAACCUGAAACCGUGUACGUACAAGCAGUGGGAGCCCCACCACUAAGCCAGUGGUGAACUCCACAUACGCAUCCUUUGCUGAGGAUACGGUUAACGGAGCGAAAGCGACGUUCAACCUCAAAAGAAGCAGAGGGGGCUUAGUGGUGGGGUGACUGCGUACCUUUUGUAUAAUGGGUCAGCGACUUAUAUUCUGUAGCAAGGUUAA